UGCCGAGAACGGAUGACGUCUCUAUCGGGCCCGAUUGCACUACGACCGUCGAUACGACCGAUACUACUAGCACACACACCGCCAGCGAUACCGUCGAUCAGCGUUUACCCGUGUACGUAUGAGAAGCGAUUGUGGCGUUAGAUGAAACAGCGCUACUGACACGAGAUAACUUGUUGUCCUUUGGUAUUGUAACCCUCCCCACCAUCCGUUCGUUUGUGUCGCGGACAGGCUGAAUGAUGUGCGGACGUACCCUCCAAGUGCGACGGAACAUAAAUCCUUCCGCAGCAGGGCGACGGCAGUAGUGCGACAUUAAAUAUGGCCGCUGAACCUAAGCACAUGCCAACAGGGAAACGGGAAAGGAGGAAGGAAGGAAAGGAGCACGGACACCCAAAAACCCCAUCUCAAGCACGUGAUAAUGAAGAGAAACAAGUGACACGAUGUCGAGCGAAUUACAUUACCAACCAUCCAGAGCCAAUGGUUGCGAAUUCGCUGGCAUUUACCCCAUUUUUUUCUCGUCCUGCUCCAUUUGGAACCGGCCACCAACAUUAUGCGCUGUAUUCUGACGAUCUGUAGAGGUGUGUGUGUGUGGGUUGAGGAGGGGGGAGGGGUAGGUAUAUGUUCGGUGAGUUUUUUUUUCUGCGUGUUUGUUAUUACUACCAACUGCCGUCUGUUUUGCUUGUUAUCUUGUCCUGACUGACGAGGGGCCGGACCACAAUUUCUCAUGUUCCAACGCGUGGUCAUGUUUUAUGCUUAAGUUUGACGCUUUCGCCCGCAAUACAAGCAACAAAAAAACCGUUGGGAGGCAAAUACUCUCUCUCGGCUAAGCAAAGCAUGGAGUGUGUUGUUGUAGCCGCAACCAGCUGGAUGAACUGUUUUCCUUCAUCUUCCACGCCGUACAGUUGUUUGCUUUGUGCACCGUCGUUUGCACCGGAUGCAAAUAGAAGAGAAAGAAAAACCGCCCGCCAACGCACAGGACGAUGAUUUAUGCUGCUUCAAACAACGGCAAAGGAUCGCCAUGGUUGAUGGGACGAUUUGUCUGAAGAGGACCGCCCAAAAGUAGUGGAUGCGGAAUGAAGCCAACAUACGCACGUCCUCUCGAAUGGGCAGCUGGGAAAUGCUAACAAGUGUUACGGAAUUAUGGCCGAGGUUCGUCACCCGUACUGCAAGCUCGCUCACUCAACAAAGUAUUCCACAAAACACACCCACACACACACACACACAUACAAAUCCAACCCUUCGUUUUUGCUCCGAAGGAGAAGGCGAGGGACCGUAAAUGAAUCCAAAAAGUGAACAAUCAACUGGUUGUGGAGGGAGACGAAAGUAACAACACACUGUAGUAGAACGUUGCCCUUCUCUCGGGAGCGAAUCAGGUUCCGGGACACCAGCUGCAGCAUCGCGCAACGGCGGGAAAAACGAGAAAACUUUCCCAUCAACGCACACAGGCAUCAUUGGAGCUACACAGGAAGAAAACAUAAUGCAUUCAAUGCGAAAAUUAUGACGAACUUCAAUUCAGUUAGCGAAACCAUCGCUCCGAAAGUCGCUCAGUGCCGUGCAGGUGGGCGAUGAAGAUUUACCGCCUAUCAAUCUGGGGUUUCGCCGUUGUCGUCGGUGUCAUCCAGCGCAGAGAAAACGUCAAUAUCGUGCGUUACUGAGAAGACGAUAAAUCGCUGUCGAGGCAAUUCUAUCCAUCACCCGAAGAACGAAACGAAAGGCAAUUCAUUUCCGUGCGAGCAAAUGUGAUCUAUUUCGGAAAAAGUGUGUGUGUGUUGCAAGUUGUUGUCAAACUGGAGGAGACAUUAACUCUUGUGUCUUGUGUCCAUUUCGGAAGCUGUUGUAAUGACGUUGCUAGGAGAGAGAGAGAGAGAGAUAGAUAGAGAGAUAAAAAAUGGAAGCAAAUACGCACGGAAAACAUUGUCCAAAUAAAGCAAAUCAGCAAUGUUUUUGACCGUUUUUUUUUAAAUGUGGUCAGGUUACACAGUAGAAAGUACUAAAAAAUUCCUUACCAAUACCACCAAAAUCACAUGAGGUAGAAUUGCAUCCUUACAACCCGUACAGGACAUCGGACGGUGACAUCGUAGCACCGUUCCAAUACACAAGUCCUUGCGAAACCCGGCAUGGCGUGGGUAGUGCGUGUAAGGGAAAAAAACACUGUAAUACUGCCGGUUCCCUAUUCGUUCGCUAUUAAUAGCGGCAGCUCAGAACGCAUCUGCAAGGGAUGGUGGCCUACGAUGCAGCCCAGGCAGCGCAUUCGCACAGCCCUGAUGAUAGAGCUGAUGAUGAGAUGAUGAAAACCAAACAGGAAGCACUAUGGCAUAUAGUAAAUGGAAGAAGAAAAAAACCCCGAGUCAUCCAUACACACACCCAUACACCUUCCUUCACGACUGGCAAUAUUGAUUGCGAACGCUACUGGAAACACGUCAUAAGCACGAGCUCGGGUUUGGCUUAUUUUUUUUUGUUAUCAUUUCCAACUACCCACGGUCGGUAAAGUUUUGAUUUCAUUUCAGCCACCUCUAUCUGGCCCGAUCGCUUGUGGACAUUUAUUAAUGUUGUAGUAUGGCACGAAAAAACUGCGCCUGUCCAUGCACCUGUUGUGUCGGAAAGAUAUUGCGUUCAUAUUGUUUUUUUUUUGCUAUCGAAAAAAAAGCCAACACGGUUGCAGUGUUUGUCGCUUGUCAAUUAUUUCAAUUACAAACCAAAAAAAAUAAGCAAAGCGUCCCACACCCUCUACCCUGCGACCGAGACAAGCAAAUCGUGCAAAGCUGUUGUAAACAGACAAGAAAAAUGAUAACGAAAAGCUAAACAUGGAAGUAGGUUUAUUAACACAAAAACCUAACCACCUUCACUAUGGUGUAAGUUCUGAGACAUAUAAUGUAAAAGAAAUGUUCUAAAUAGUAAACACAAGCUAGCAAAACAAAGCAAAACAAAAAAGGUGUACUAAAAUAAUCAAAAUCAUGCCCCCAGAAACAAAUGUGUUUUAGUGUGAUUGUUAAUAGGAUAAUGAAAAAGCAAAAAAAAAAGAAACAGAUAAAAAUCAGAUACAAAGACGUUAGGAAUGAAAUUAAAGAAAAAACGGAAAACAAAACAGCUAAAAUCCGAUAGCGCACACGUUACAUAUACAAUCGUUCAUGUGUUUAGGAAAAAAAAACUAUUUAAGAAACAUCUAAGAUGUAUGAUGAGAGACAACAAAACAAACGAGAAACGAAGGUGUAAGAUGUAAACUAAAAUUAUUGAUAGACUAAUAUAAAAUAUCCGAAGCUAAAACUCAAGUAAACAAAACGAUUAAACGAGGCAAAGAAACAAUCCUCAAACAGCAAACAAACACACAGCAGAAUGUGUUUUCUACUAGAGCUAAUUAGCUAAAUGGUGAAUGUUUACUUCGACUGUAUAACAGUUCCAAACACGGUAUGAAAAACAAAACAACUCUAUAUACUCUUAUUACCAUUCAGCAUGUCGAUGUGUGAUAUAUGGAUCACUUAAAACACACAUACACAAAACAAAUAAACCAUGAAAAGAAACAAACAGAACAGGAAAACACAAAUUGAAAAUCAGUAUUAAAUCGCUAAACAACAUUAAAACAAAAAACAAAAAAAGAAUGACAUGAGGAGAAAGUAAACAAGUAUAACAGAGCUGAGAACAGAACAGUGUUCAUAUUAUGUUUAUGUGUGUGUUUUUUUAGCUUAUGUUCUUUAUUUAUUUUACUUUUAUAAUUGUGUAAAGUAAUUACUUUUUUAGCUACCACACUUACCAUGCCUCGCAUACGUGUUUGAAAUUUCAGUUUUAUACAAAUUAAAUUCCACAUUACCUUCUGUCUUUUUGUGCUUCCCUUUGGAACCAGUUGGAAGCCUGCCAGUCUCAUGCUUCUAUCGUUCGCCCCAAAAGACACUCGCUUUCCGAACGAUCUUUGGCUUUUCGGAACCGACACGACCAUAAAGGUGUCUUGAUUUUGUGUGUGUGUGUUUUGUAAAGAAUUUGAACAAAAACAAACAAAAACAAAUUAAAAUUGCAAAAGGUUUUUAAAAUUUUCUAUCACUUUCCCACUUUCCAUUUGGAGCAUCCCCCCUACAGCCCCAAGGGGGAACGCGUGAGUACGUACAGCGAUUCAAGUGAUUGAUGCUGGAAAACAUUGGCAGCCAGAGAAAAUGGACCAUUUGCUGGUGCUCAUUUCUAUCCGCGAAUUGGCCAAGGGGAAAACCGGAGCCACCGUGAUUUUCUACCAUUUUCCCCUUCCCAUCGCUGUUGCCUUUCCUGCGGUGUGUGUGUGUGUGUGCUCGUGUGCUCACAAGGAGCAAUUAUUGAGUUCCCGUGGAAAUGCUUGCGCUUCUGCAAGUAUGUACCCUGGAGCUGUUAUUAUUAUUAUUAAUACUAUCGCACAACAACAUCAUCACGUUCGAUGUUGCUGCUGAUUGUUCACCAUCCAAAAAAAGAAACAGAAGAAAGGGAAUGUUGCUCUCUCUCUCUCUUACCAGAACCUUUUACCACCUUUGCUUCUCGCUGAGCGGGGGGUUUUGUUUGCCGGGGAAAUCCGAAGUGGAAAGCAGCGGACCGAAGUAUGCUUUCCGCGAGGCACGCUGCUUGUAUGCCACCGGUAAAAGAAGAGUUGGUAAAGUUUCAAAAUUCCACGAUCCAACAAAACAAACCCGUGUCACACAAAGCACACAACCGUUGCGCACGUGGCCCGCACGUGGUGCCAAGCAGCAAGUGAAAUAGGGAACACGUUUAGUGCAGCAGCUAGUGGCCCGCUGGCGACAGAAAACAACCAAAACAAAAGCUAGCCCGGGACGGGGUGGGAAAGUCAUAUAAAAUUUUUAAAAAUAACCUCAAAGUGCGGACGCAUACAAGCUUUUGGCUGGGAAGGAUGUGCUUUCUGCUUCCUCCAACGGUAAGCCACCCGUUUUGUAUGGAGCCUGACUAUGGUUUUUGUACUCUAGUGUUUAAUUUAGCAGAAUUUAUUUUGUGUGCCAUCUUGAACCUCAAACUCGUUGAGCGGAACAGACUGUAAUGACUUGGAACGGUUGGAAGCCAGCAAGAUGCAAAAAAAGUAAAAUAACAACAACCAAAGUUGUAUAGCGAGCGAAACACUUUCCCAAAACCUAAUUUAAAGAGAUAAAUUAAGAAAGAACAUUUACACGAUGAACACACCGAUUUAAAAGCCAAUUGAAAAUGCUAAAGUACAUACUAAACAAUAGAACUAUGACUUGUACGUGUCGCUAAGUACAUUUGUGGAGUGUUUUUUUUUGCGUUGCUAGUUUUCAUACGUACAGCAUAAAACAUAAAACCAUCCUUUUUCGAAUAUGUGUAUGUGUGUGUGUGAGAGGGCAUGGUUCUUUUUUAAGGACAAGUUUGUUUUAUUAAUGCAAAACCUAUCCGCGCUUGCAGAUAGGAAAUAGAAUUAUACAUGGAUAUUUAUAGCAAAUCGAAACCAAACUGUUAUACAAUCACCCACAACGGUUUGCUUUACAGGUGGGAAAAAUGAUAAAAUCAAUCGACAUGUUUUAAAACUAUCUACUAAAUAAUACUUAACACUCUUUCGCGCUCUCUCGUCUAUCCCCUUUUCAUGAUCCGAUUUUUUUUUCAAUCCUGCAGCUAUGUGGAUAUUGCCUACGCUGGGAAAUACAAACAGAAAAAAUAAUUGAAACAAAUAAGAAAAAAAAACUCAAUCCUUUACAUAAACGAACGUAAACAUUUCCAGCGUUGCGGAUAAAGAAAACAUAUUUUAGCUGCGUGCUAUUUCAUUUUAGACGAAGACAGAACAAAAGAAAACAUGAAAACAAACAUAAAAAAGGAUGUUAGCAGUUAAAUACAUAACCCUCUUACUCUAUAUUCGCCGUAUAAAGGAAUAGUUUAUGGAUCACUGUUACAAAAACCCCAGAACAGAACAGAAAAUAAAACAAAUGAUAUAAAAUCGAAACUAA